rnacentral:lncRNA from 1 species
UUGUCUUGCUAGUUUUACAGCUGUGUUGUAGUAGCCACAGCGUAGGAGGUGUUCCACCAUCAUACGGUCCAUACGUUUCUUCUUCCACAUGUUUGCAGCAGCUGGCUGGUCACUACUGUGUUCUUUCAGGUGUUCAAUCCUACGUUUGCAGAGUUUUGCACUCUCAUCUUCAGCCUGGAUUGACUCAACUGCCUUUCGUUUCAGCACGCUGAGUUUUUCAACUACUCCAUCUAGGAGACUAACAACUGAAUCCACAGCAGGACAACUGCUCAGCGUCUUCUCCAGCUCUGCCACGACCAUUGUAACGUGACUUGUCUCUCGAUCAAUGUUUUUCUGCGCAGCUCGAAACCGUUUGUUCAGUGUUUCAUAUGGCACAGCGCGCGCGGCAUGCCGG